AACAUYGACAUUUCGAACGCACAUUGCGGUCCACGGAUACAAUUCCCGGACCACGCCUGGCUGAGGGUCGUUUAUAAUAUAAAAACUGCUUAUCUUUYUUUUCUAAAUACAGAAAAAAUAAAAGAUUUAAGCGAAAUAAUGAAUGUUCAUCAAUACAUUUCUACUUCUUUUUGUAAAAAAAAAGUUUAGAAAACAAUUGGUGUCAUUUGAAACAAGUUGAAUAUAUUUCAGUCACAUUUGAAAGAAAAAAAUACACAAACAACUUAACUAUUGAACGACUAAUUCACGUAUCAAUAUAUAAAAGACACUUGUAAUAUUGAUAAUAUUGUGCAUUUAAAAAUUUCUGUUUGGUUGUGUUGUCAUUGUGUCAAUGAGUAAGUUAUACUUCAGACCGAUGAUUAUCAUUAUGCCAACAGAAUUAAAUGACUUGAAAAAACAAUAAAUAUCAUACAAGAUUUUUCUUUUUUGAACGUUUUGUCUUAUUGAUACAAAUAAGUGAAUUUUGUUGUGUAAUUUUUUUGUGACUAAAAUUUUCUUUAUGACGACCUCAGAUUAGGCGAGAC
rnacentral:misc_RNA from 1 species